AGCUUUGCGCAGUGGCAGUACCGUAGCCAAUGAGGUUUAUCUGAGGCGCAAUUAUUGCUAAUUAAAAUAAGUCAAUUAUUGCUAAUUAAAAUAAGUCAAUCAGACAAUUAUCAUAUGAUCUCACUCAUGUGC
rnacentral:snRNA from 1 species